rnacentral:misc_RNA from 1 species
GAUGAAGAACGCAGCGAAAUGCGAUAAGUAAUGUGAAUUGCAGAAUUCAGUGAAUCAUCGAAUCUUUGAACGCACAUUGCGCCCGCCAGUAUUCUGGCGGGCAUGCCUGUUCGAGCGUCAUUUCAACCAUCAAGCUCGGCUUGCUGUUGGGUCCCCCGCCGUUGCUUCAACGGCGGACCCGAAAGAUAGUGGCAGAGUCCGUGAGACCCUGGAUGCAGCGAGCUUCUAGCACGCGUCUAGGCGGUCUUCGGGCUUGGUCUUAACCAAUUGUCAACUUCUGAUUGACCUCGGAUCAGGUAGGGAUACCCGCUGAACUUAAGCAUAUCAAUAAGCGGAGGA